GGCGGCGGCGACGGGCUCGGCCGGCCGGCGCGGGGCCGCCAUGGGCAACCUGUUCGGUCGCAAGAAGCAGAGCCGGGUCACUGAACAGGACAGGGCCAUCCUGCAACUGAAGCAGCAGAGAGACAAGCUGAGGCAGUACCAGAAGAGGGUCACGCAGCAGCUGGAGAGGGAACGGGCUUUGGCCAGGCAGCUGCUUCGGGAUGGCAGGAAAGAACGGGCCAAGCUGCUACUCAAGAAGAAGAGGUACCGGGAGCAACUGCUCGAUAGGACAGAAAACCAGAUCAGCAGCCUGGAAGCCAUGGUUCAGAGCAUUGAGUUCACGCAGAUCGAGAUGAAGGUGAUGGAGGGGCUUCAGGUGGGGAACGAAUGUCUGAAUAAGAUGCACCAGGUGAUGUCCAUAGAGGAGGUGGAGAGGAUCCUGGACGAGACCCAGGAGGCCGUGGAGUACCAGCGGCAAAUUGAUGAGCUGCUGGCAGGAAGUUUCACCCAGGAGGACGAGGAUGCCAUCCUGGAAGAGCUGAAUGCAAUCACUCAGAAGCCCCUGCCAAGGCCAGAUCCAGGCAGGCAGAGCUGGUGGCCGCUUCGUAACCUCCAGGGACUCAUAGGGAUUCUCCGAGGACUGUCCCACAGAGCCUUUGGCUGCGAGUCAACCCUGAGGGCUCCCAGGAGGCCUGAAGGGCUGGACGGGCCAGUGCAGGUGCCGAUGGCUGGAGCAGCAGCUUACACGGGAGCUGAUGUCAGGGCGCCACGUUGUGCAAUUUAGUCUGGAUGCACCUUCAUCUCUGCUCCUGGACUAAGUGGACACUCGGCCAGCCAGGCGCAGCUUCAGGCCGCUGUGGACCCCACGUUGGCCGCAGCCCACUACUCCUGGUGCUGUUCUCAUGCUGACCCAGCCCGUGUGACCUGCACUCUUCUGUGAGGAAGCACCUCAGACCUCGGGGUCCCUGUGCUCCCUUCUCUUGUAUCUCCUGCUCACAUGAGCUGGUGGGGGCUUCAGUUGAGGAGUUCUUACCUUGCCUGGCAUCCUGAUAUCCCUGUUUCCCUGCAGGCUGGUGACAGAAACCCUAGGAUACUUGUGUUCUCCAAAUCUCUUGGAGCAUCUUUGGCACCUCAGACUUGAUUGAGCCUCUUAUGUUGGGGGAGGUGGACCAGGGGCCAUCCUGCUGAAUGGACAAAUCUAGGAGCCUGACUUGGGAGUCUGUUCACAGAAGAAAGGCAUGUUGAAGUUGGUGACAAGACCCUGUUUUAAUGGACAUGUACCCGAUGGUGUCCUGGACACACUAAGCCACCAACGCCCAGGAGGCACAGAACUGGGAGGACCUCCAGAGCCCUACACUUGUUUGAUAAUGGACAAUCUCUGGUCCUCUAGUCUUUGAGGAACAAAGGGUCUUACAUACCCUUAGGGCCUACCAGGAAAGGAGGGCACCUCUUCCUUAACCCAAAACAGGUCAACCUCAGUAUUAAAGUUGACCCCUGCAUGGUCUUUGGCCUCUUGC
rnacentral:lncRNA from 1 species